GGAUCUGUAGCUUAAUAGUAAAGUACCAUUUUGUCAUAAUGGAGGAUGUCAGUGCAAAUCUGAUUAGAUUCGUAU
ensembl:tRNA Mitochondrial aspartate tRNA (tRNA-Asp); predicted by tRNAscan-SE analysis